rnacentral:lncRNA from 1 species
GAAAAACAUACUAAAAACAUGAUUAUUACAUAGUUUGGCCAAUUGGCCUAUAUAUAAAAACCUAAUAUAAAAGAAAAUAUAAAACUAUUGGAGAGAAAAUCUUCCCCUAAACAAAGACACUUUAAAGACUACAGUGUGGAUGCUAUUGUGUAAUGGUAUGAGAAGGGGUUUUCUAUUUAUAGAUGUCCAAAACCUUUCCUCCAAGAAAGAGGUUAGUCAAAUAUGGAAAAAAGUUAUAUUUUUUUUCUUUUAGGAAAAGUAAAAGUAAUUAUGGUAACUUUUAUUUUCCUUCUAAGAAAAAAUAAAACUUAAAUAUAGUAAGAAAAUCAGGGUAAAAACCCUAACAAAUCUCCCAUUUUUUGGCUUGAUUUUCUUCACUUGAUCCGCCUUCUAUUCAUAUCACGUGCAUGAACUUCGUUCUUGCUAUAAUCUUCAUAACUGCUAUUUGCCAUGGUUAAAAAUAAGGUUUAAAAUAUCAUCGUUACAAAUUGGUUUAAAAGUAAUAUUUUAUUUUUAUUUUUAAAGAUGCAGUAAUAGGCAUGUUGAAAAUAUGGUUGAAACUUGUUCUCCACGUGUAGUUCGACCAAAAAUGCUCAUUAUCGUCCAAAUUGUUGCAGCUUGAUUUUGAAACCGCUUUGAACCUGUUUAAUCUUGUCUCACCGUAACAUUGAACCAUUGAACCGUAAGCUCUGAUACCAUUUGUUGGGUUCGAAAUCAAGUGGGCGUCAUGCGGAAGCUAUUAGUUGCAAACUAUGAGAAGAUAAAUGAGACGAAAAGAAAAACAUACUAAAAACAUGAUUAUUAUAUAGUUUGGCCAAUUGGCCUACAUAUAAAAACCUAAUAUAAAAGAAAACAUAAAACUAUUAGAGAGAAAAUCUCCCCUUAAACAAAAACAAAGACUACAUUGUGGAU